AGAGUAUGAUCCUGGCUCAGAAUGAACGCUGGCGGCAUGCCUAACACAUGCAAGUCGAACGAGAUUUUCGGAUCUAGUGGCGCACGGGUGAGUAACGCGUGGGAACCUACCUUUUAGUACGGGACAACGUUUGGAAACGAACGCUAAUACCGUAUACGCCCUCCGGGGGAAAGGUCAGCCGCUGAAAGAGGGGCCCGCGUCUGAUUAGCUUGUAGGUAAGGUAAUGGCUUACCAAGGCUACGAUCAGUAGCUGGUCUGAGAGGAUGAUCAGCCACACUGGGACUGAGACACGGCCCAGACUCCUACGGGAGGCAGCAGUGGGGAAUAUUGGACAAUGGAGGCAACUCUGAUCCAGCAAUGCCGCGUGUGUGAUGAAGGCCCUAGGGUUGUAAAGCACUUUCAACGGUGAAGAUGAUGACGGUAGCCGUAGAAGAAGCCCCGGCUAACUUCGUGCCAGCAGCCGCGGUAAUACGAAGGGGGCGAGCGUUAUUCGGAAUUAUUGGGCGUAAAGGGCUCGCAGGCUGCUUGAACAGUUAGACGUGAAAUCCCCGGGCUCAACCUGGGAACUGCGUUUAAUACUAGCAAGCUAGAGAGAUAGAG
rnacentral:rRNA from 1 species